AACGAACGCUGGCGGCAUGCCUAACACAUGCAAGUCGAACGAAGGCUUCGGCCUUAUUCUCGCCCGGGUUCGUAACGCGUGGGAAUCUUCCCUUUUGUUCGGCAUAACAACUGGACACGGCUGCUAAUACCGGAUCAUGACUAAUGUCCAAAGAUUUAUCGCCAGAGGUUGAUCCGGAGUUGGAUACGGUAUUUGGUUCGCUAAUGGCAUACCAAGCGGACGAUCCAUAGAUGGUCUGAGAGGAUGAUCAGCCACACUGGGACUGAGACACGGCCCAGACUCCUACGGGAGGCAGGAGUGGGGAAUAGUGGAACGCCGGGGGAAGGAUGAUCCAGCUAUGCUGGGAGAGUGAUGAAGGCACGAGGGUUGUAAAGCGCUUUUAACCGGGAAGAUAAUGACGGUACCGAGAGAAUAAGCCACGGCUAACUACGUG
rnacentral:rRNA from 1 species